rnacentral:rRNA from 1 species
CACGUAGGGUGCGAGCGUUGUCCGGAAUUAUUGGGCGUAAAGAGCUCGUAGGCGGUGUGUCGCGUCGGCCGUGAAAACCUGCAGCUUAACUGUGGGCUUGCGGUCGAUACGGGCAUCACUGGAGUUCGGCAGGGGAGACUGGAAUUCCUGGUGUAGCGGUGAAAUGCGCAGAUAUCAGGAGGAACACCGGUGGCGAAGGCGGGUCUCUGGGCCGAUACUGACGCUGAGGAGCGAAAAGCGUGGGGAGCGAACAGG